UAGUGAGUAACUAGAACUGUGCAGCUAAUGAAAGGAAAUGCUGUCUAAGAAGUUACCCUUCAUAAAGGUGAGCAGACCUCAUUCAAUCAUGUGAAAGCCUUAAGAGAAAAACGUUGAGGCCCACUGAGGAAGCAGCAACUCUGCUUCCAGACUGCUUGCAGACUCAAGACUACAACGUAAACUCUGGAAUUUUCAGCCAGCCAGCUUGCUCUGCAGAUUUCAAACUUGCCAGCCUCCACAAUUGUGUAAGCC
rnacentral:lncRNA from 1 species